rnacentral:piRNA from 1 species
UGGCCAGAACUAUGACAGUUAAGGGA